rnacentral:rRNA from 1 species
UACGUAGGUGGCAAGCGUUUGUCCGGAAUUAUUGGGCGUAAAGCGCGCGCAGGCGGUCCUUUAAGUCUGAUGUGAAAGCCCACGGCUCAACCGUGGAGGGCAUUGGAAACUGGGGGACUUGAGUACAGAAGAGGAAAGCGGAAUUCCACGUGUAGCGGUGAAAUGCGUAGAGAUGUGGAGGAACACCAGUGGCGAAGGCGGCUUUCUGGUCUGUAACUGACGCUGAGGCGCGAAAGCGUGGGGAGCAAACAGG